rnacentral:rRNA from 1 species
AUUGAACGCUGGCGGCAGGCUUAACACAUGCAAGUCGAGCGGGGUGAUGGUGCUUGCACUAUCACUCAGCGGCGGACGGGUGAGUAAUGCUUAGGAAUCUGCCUAUUAGUGGGGGACAACAUCUCGAAAGGGAUGCUAAUACCGCAUACGUCCUACGGGAGAAAGCAGGGGAUCACUUGUGACAUUGCGCCAAUAGAUGAGCCUAAGUCGGAUUAGCUAGUUGGUGGGGUAAAUGCCUACCAAGGCGACGAUCUGUAGCGGGUGUGAGAGGAUGAUCCGCCACACUGGGACUGAGACACGGCCCAGACUCCUACGGGAGGCAGCAGUGGGGAAUAUUGGACAAUGGGGGGAACCCUGAUCCAGCCAUGCCGCGUGUGUGAAGAAGGCCUUAUGGUUGUAAAGCACUUUAAGCGAGGAGGAGGCUCUUUUGGUUAAUACCCAAGAUGAGUGGACGUUACUCGCAGAAUAAGCACCUGCUAACUCUGUGCCAGCCGCCGCCGUAAUAC